rnacentral:lncRNA from 1 species
UUCUGGAAAAGCUCUGGCUGGUUUCUUUCUUCAUGUUCUAGGCACAGGCAUUGGAGCUUGGAAUCGGCUCCUCUCAGGUAAAAGUAAAAUCUCUUGUGUUAUUUGCUACCGGUAAUCUCUGUCGCAGUAAAAAUUCUUGAGCUGGAGAUAUCAAAAAUAUCUUUUCACCGACAAAAGUCUCGAGGAGAUUCAUCACCUCGAUCGCAUACCUCCGCCUCAAAGCUGUUCUUCACUGAGCUUGAUGAUCUCCUUUGAAACCAUCUUGGGGACAAUUAAAAGUUUAAACAGGGCUUCCCACAAGUUUACCUCCUAGUGCAAAUCACGUCCCUUGAAUGCUCGGAAUCUCUCUCGCUCUCCUCUUCAUCGGUCUCCCGAUCGCGCAGCCUCUUGGC